GAAGUAUAAUUCUUGGUCACCUGACGAAGAACUUGAGACACCCAGCUAGGACCUUUUGACAGGUCGAAGUGUUGUGCUAUUUUGAUCAAACAAAUCUCGCCAAGGGAGCUCACAGUCGCCCAGCAAAAUGAUGAACGUUCGAACACUUAGCUGGAUUGUGUGUUUCCUGUUUAUGGAAGUCGUUGUCUGUGAAGAAGGUGCUCCAAAGAAUGUCAAAAUUGCACUGCCUGAGGAUACUGUAUAUGAAUGUACUGCUGAUGCCGCCCAAACUUUCAAGUGGAGCAGAGAUGGCGAGGACUUGCCAAGUGGUGUGACUGUCGAGGGGGAAAUAGGGCAAAGGCUGCGCUUCCCUGACCUGACUACUGACUAUGACGGCAUUUACAUCUGCGAGGCCUCUAACCCCUAUGGGACAGCAUCAACGUCCAUACAUCGAUUUGGCUAUAUGGGUAACAAGGACACAUUCAUCAAAUCUGAACUUUGAUGGCUGCCUCAGAAUGGACCGGAUGGCUCUCUUUGCCUGGACUUGACAGUGGGAGCAACUAGAAAGGGACAAUACCAUAUGGCCCACGAGGCCAUGUGACAUGUUUACACAGGCAUGUCCCCCCAAAUAAGGGUUUAGACUCUUUCACAUCAGACUUGUUGGUUAGAAAACAUGAAAAUAUAUCAUUACUUCCCCACCAA